GGGGCCGCGCGUGCCGGCGUUGCCGGGUAACCGCCGCCCCGGGCAAUGGCGGCGGGACCGCCUCGCGGUUGCUGCCUGGCCAUUUAAAGUCGUAGGAAUAGCCGGCAAAGCUGCUUAGGACUGUGUUGAAAAUGCUGGGAGAGAAAAAGCAGUUAAUGGUGGCAAGAGACCUUUAUACAGACCCCACGUUCCCGGCCAGUGAUACCUCCAUAUUUUUUAAUUAUUGUACCCCGCUGGCCCAGUUCAGAGGCGAGAUAUCUUGGUUGAGACCUAAGGACAUUUGUUCCUCUCCUCGGUUAUUUUCAAACAAUCUGCAGGAUGUGCAAGUAAAACAAGGAAUUUUGGGAGACUGUUGGUUCCUGUGUGCCUGUGUAGCUUUGCAGAAGAGCAAAUACUUACUGAACAAGGUGAUCCCUCCAGGCCAGCCCAGCUGGACAGAUGAGUCCUACCAAGGCUGCUUCACGUGCCGGGUGUGGCAGUUUGGCCACUGGGUGGAAGUGACCAUUGAUGAUCGCCUGCCUUGCCUUGGGGGCAAACUCUGCUUUUCCCAGUGUCAGACAGAGGAUUUGUUUUGGCUUCCACUCCUGGAAAAAGCUUAUGCAAAAGUGCAUGGAUCUUAUGAGCAGUUGUGGGCAGGACAGGUGGCAGAUGCUUUGGUUGAUCUGACUGGAGGAAUUGCUGAAAGAUGGACCCUGAAAGACCCUGGGAAAAAUGUGGAGAAAGAGAAGACUGGCAUGGUUUUGGAGAAAGCAGUGUUUAGAAGAUUAAUGAAUCUGAAGGAACAGUGUGUAAUAAGCUGUUCAGUCCUCAACUCCAGACAAGGUGCAAGUGAACUAGGAGAAUUUCAUGCCUUUAUUGUGAUAGACACAUUGAAUCUCUCUGAAGUGUCAGGCAAGGAAAUCUUCCUGCUACGAAUAAGAAAUCCUUGGGGGAGGCGGUGCUGGAAAGGGCCUUGGUGUGAGGGUGGUCAAGGAUGGAACCAGCUAGAUCCAGUAGUUGCUUCAGAACUCCUCUCACAGAUCCAAGAAGGAGAAUUCUGGGUUGAUGAAGAAGAAUUUUUCAGGGAAUUUGAUGAGAUUACUGUGGGCUUUCCAGUCAAUGAGGAAGGACAACUUCAGAGCCUCUAUACAGAGAAAGUGCUGUAUCACUCUCAGAAUCUCUUUGGAUCCUGGGUGAGAGGCCAGUCUGCCGGUGGCUGCCGCAACAACAGCAGCUUCCCUACCAACCCCAAGUUCUGGCUGAGGGUGUGUGAGUCCAGUGAGGUGUGCAUUGCUCUGCUGCAGAAACACAGGAAAUACAGCACUGACUGGGCUGGAAGGAUUCAAAAGCCAACUCGCUUAGCAGAGGAAAAUCCAUCUUUGACUGAAGGCAUACAGGGAAAGAAUUACCAGGCUGUGGGAUUGCAUGUCUGGAAGGUGGAGAAGAAACGAUUUAACCUUCCAAAGACCCUCUCUGCUCCUCCAGUUGUAGGUACUGUCUGCCAUUCCUACGACAGAGAAGUCCAUGUGUGCUGUGACCUUUCACCUGGCUUUUAUCUUGUUGUUCCCAGCACUUUUCUGAAAGAUGCAGUAGGGAAUUUCUUGCUUCGUGUAUUUUCAACAGGAAGGAUCUCUCUCAGUGAACUAAAGCCACCACCCAUGGAUGCUGCCCUCUGUGAAGAACUCCCAGCUGGUGAAUGGGAGACAGUGCAGCUGCAUGGAUGCUGGAAGAAUGGGCUAAAUGCUGGAGGUAGCAGGAACUUCCCCUCCUUCCAUACCAAUCCCUGCUUUCCCCUCUCCAUUCCUGCAGGCCCAGGGAAAAGCAGUGUGAAAGUCACCCUCCGUCAGCACUGCCUGGAUAGCAAGUGUUGUCCAAUAGGUUUCCAUAUUUUCCAGGUGCCUAACAGCAGCUGGAAACCACAAACUACUUCUUUUGUACAUUUGGAGCCACUGGUGAGCUGUGUUCCUCACUGCUAUUCCCAGGAAGUCAGCCGACUCUGCAGGCUUCCUGCAGGAAGUUAUGUCAUUAUACCUUCUACAUACUUGCCCAAUACAGAAGGCAAUUUUACAGUGGUCAUAGCAACCAAAAUAGACAGGAAGCGCAUUCACAGCCAGGAGACACUUGGACAGGUGUUACAAGAGGUUUCCUUUACAACUGUGAUGAAAAGGAAGGAUAUACCUCAAGAACCAUCAAAAUACACUGGAGUAGAAAAAGUCCAAGCUUGUAUCUGACACUGCCAGUCUUGCUGCUGAGCACUUUACCUUGGGCCCUCUAUGGAACCAAGGAGAUGGUGGGUUCAAAGGAAAGAUUUUUUUGGUGAGUUUUUCUUUAAUGAAUGCCAGAAAUAAAAAAGACAAGACUUGAAAACUUUUGAACUAUGCUAUCAGACUGCUUUUGUAAAUCUGUAAGAAUGUGUUUUAUGGAAGAGCUGCCCUUGCCGCAAGAAAUGUGCGGUUUAAGGGUUUUUUCUUAAUUUGUGUUUGAAAGUGUUUCUUAUUCAAGCAGGAUUUUUAAAUGUUAUAUUUUUCUCAGUAAAAAUAAAGUAACAUUAAAAGUUUUAAAAUGGCUUUUAUUUUAAAAGUUAAAUACUUCAAUUUUGUCACGCAUGCAUUGGUUCUGUGGUAGUGAACAUUACCAUGUGUUAGAACCCUGGGAUUUCACUUAGUGGAAGGGAAUAAUGGGAGAUACUUGCAAGAAGAAUCAAGUCUUCCAUUAGUCCCAGAAAUAUGUAGUAUUCUGCUUUUGCUUUUAACUACAUCCUGCCAUAUUUUCUACUAGCUCCUGUUGAACUUUGAAAAUUGAAAGGAUUUAGGAUGCUUUCGGCUGAAUUUUAAAUGGUCAAAACCUUCCACAUCUGUUGGUGUGGAAAAAGAGCAAAAGAAAACACUGAGUAAUAAAUCUCUACUGUACCUACUAAAACAGCUGUUGACAUCUUUGUUUAUUUCCUUAAUUUCUUGAAAAGCUGUUCCUUUCUCUUCAAAUAGGAAAUUAUUGGAUCAUACAACAGUGUUUCUAAACAGAAGGAAAAGUUUGUGAAAGUGCAUGGACCUGAGUUGUGGUGAAAUAGAAAUUGGAUACUGAGGAAGUAAAAAAAGAUAAGAUCUAAGAAAAGACCUGUGAACUCAGAAGACUAACAGCUUAUUGAAGUAAAUUUUAUUCAAGCAUCCUUACUGAACAGUUGUCCCAUUUUAAGAGUGUGAUACCUGACAGAGCAUACAUGCAGGAAACUACUUGAUACAGGGCACUUCUCUAGCAUCCUACAGCUAAUUCAC